rnacentral:misc_RNA from 1 species
CUCCAAUUUGGAUGAUUCUUUGCUUUGUGUGAUAAAUCAGAUAACCUGAUUUGGAUAAAGGAAUUGCGGAAUUCCCUUUUCCAUUUUCAAAUCAGGUGAGUUCAUCGCAAGAUAACUCAGAUUUUGUUAGAUUCUAAAAAUAAUACAAGUUCAAGUUAUUUCAUUUUUGAAUCUGGCUUCAUGGAAAUUCGGGGAGAUGAUGAGGCUAGUAUUAGUAUUGGUGGAGAUAAAUCUCCUUUGGAUAAUGUAGAGGUAGAAGGUGGGGAAGCAUCAUCGGUUUUGAGGUCGACCCUUUUCUUGGAUAAUGUUGGGGAAGUUGUUCUAACUCUCGAUUCUGAUGGUUUGUCUUGGGAAUUGCUUGAUUCCUUCGAAACUGAU